rnacentral:rRNA from 1 species
CGUCAAGUCAUCAUGGCCUUUAUGGCCAGGGCUACACACGUGCUACAAUGGCAGGUACAGAGGGAAGCCAACCGGCGACGGGGAGCCAAUCCCAGAAAGCCUGUCUUAGUCCGGAUUGCAGUCUGCAACUCGACUGCAUGAAGCUGGAAUCGCUAGUAAUCGCGGGUCAGCAUACCGCGGUGAAUGUGUUCCUGAGCCUU